GGGGAGGCCUCAGUGUCUCCUCUCCUUUGGGAGAACAGAAGGACGCCUGCGGCCUACAACCAACCUGCCCCCUGCUGCCACUGUGAUCUCUGCUCCUCCUAAGGAGACCCUUCAUCAAGAGGAUUAGGUCCAGGCUCCCAGAAGAGCAAACGAAGUCCUUCUUGGUCUGGGUCCUCCCCCUCCACGCUCCCAGACCAGUGUUUCUCAUGAUGUACUCUGCAUAUAAGUUAAAUAAGCAAGGUG